CGAAUAUUCCCUAAAUGCCGGGAAACAAAGGUAUGAGAAGAUGAUCAGUGGUAUGUACCUGGGUGAAAUCGUCCGCAACAUCUUAAUCGACUUCACCAAGAAGGGAUUUCUCUUCCGAGGGCAGAUCUCUGAGCCGCUGAAGACCCGGGGCAUCUUUGAGACCAAGUUUCUCUCUCAGAUCGAGAGCUUCUCCAGAAUCAUGCACCAGACGGUGAAGGAACUGUCACCAAAAUGUAACGUGUCCUUCCUCCUGUCUGAGGAUGGCAGCGGCAAGGGGGCCGCCCUCAUCACGGCCGUGGGUGUGCGGUUACGCA
rnacentral:sRNA from 1 species